AGGUCCAGCCUUCACUGAGGCUCACCACGAAGAUUUCCUCCCUCGCAGUCGUGGGGUCUCUCUCGUGUCACCAUGUCCACAGUUUGCGGAUCGUCCGCCGCCGUCCUCGCCAUCAUCCUCUGCGCUGUUGUUGUUGCUACAGAGGCGCAGACAUCGACUCCUCCUCCAGGCCCUGUCCCGUGUGCCUUGAGAUCCAACACCAGCUGCGAUGAAUGUUUGCAGAAUGUGACUUGUUUGUGGUGCAUACCAACUCAACAAUGCAUUGACUACCCGGUGAGGAACAUCCUUCCCUCCAACAGUGUUUGCCCUCUGAGUGAUGCACGAUGGGGGCUGUGCUGGGUCAACUUCCAGAUACUGAUCAUCACGGCGUCAGUGCUGGCCGGCGUCAUCAUCAUCGCCCUUCUUGUCUGCUGCUGCUGCUGCUGCAAGUGUGAACGAAUCGGGAACAAGAAAGAAGACGAAAAGGUGGAGCGACAAACCCGUGCGAGGAAGGCCCGUCAAAAAGCGAGGUGAAUGUUGAGCGAACAGAGAUGCAGCUGAGGCAUGAUGAAAUCAGGCAGAAAUAUGGCGUGGCAAAGGAUAAUCCAUAUUCCCGUAUGGACGAGCAUUAAGAGGAACGAUUCCUACAGAUGGUCUUAUUGAUGCCAGUAACACAGCGUACAAGCAGCUUCUGAUAAACUGUGAUUAUCUGAAUAGAUUUCACUUUCGUUACCUAAAGUUUCUUUUUAAAGAAAUAAAUCAGGCUCUCUCUCUUUUUUUUCUUAUGGAUUAAUACGUCUUAACGGGAUUUAAAUAAUCAUGAGAAAACCCAUCCAGCUAACCUGAUUUUCUGUCCAUACAUGAAACUCGUUGUCAGGACAAACCUGUCAAAAGAUAUUGUCCAGCUUUACGUGCAAGUGUUCCUGAGUAGAUUUGCACAAGAUGAAGUGCAGGUCCAGAGCUGAUCAGUUCUUGUGGGGCUUGUAGUGGAACUAGUCGUUUUAUUAUUAUACAGGUUUUUGAAUUGUCCAUAAAAUGUAAUUUUAUGUGUUUUUAUUUCAUUAUUGAUCUUGAUAAAUGUCAGAAUUGGUCUGAUAACGUUAUUAGAUAAAAUGAAACGUGUGAUCUUAAACUACGUGUGACCCAUUAAAAAUACAUUUUGAUAAUAAAUUUCAAAAUUAAAUGAA